rnacentral:tRNA from 1 species
GGCUUCGUAGCUCAGCUGGUAGAGCGCUUGCCGCACUGAGGCAUGGUGUUUUUGUUGCUGGUUCGAAUCCAGUCGAAGCCC